rnacentral:ncRNA from 1 species
GGGCGGCAAGCGCUGGAAUAACGCCGAGUUGGCCUUCGGGCUGGCAGCGCCCUUCACGGGCGUGGGACAGGCGCCAGGGGCCGCCCCUCAC